GCGGAUGAACUGUGGGUAGCGGAGAAAUUCCAAUCGAACCCGGAGAUAGCUGGUUCUCCCCGAAAUAGUUUUAGGACUAGCCUCAAGUUAGAUACCUGGAGGUAAAGCACUGAAUAGCCUAGCGGCCGAGAGGUUAGCGAAGCUUAUCAAACUCAGAAUGCCAGAGUAUUGAUGCUUGGGAGUCAGACAGUGUCAGAUAAAUGUCAUUGUCAAAAGGGAAACAGCCCAGAUCUACAGCUAAGGUCCCAAAGUCAGGUUAAGUGGAAAACGAUGUGAAGAUACGCAGACAACCAGGAUGUUGGCUCAGAAGCAGCCACUCAUUCAAAGAGUGCGUAAUAGCUCACUGGUCGAGCGUCUUUGCGCGGAGAAUUUAACGGGGCUAAACCUGACACCGAAGCUUAGGCAAUCCAGCAAUGGAUUGGGUAGGGGAGCGUUGUAUACGCGGAGAAACAGCAGCGUAAGCGGCUGUGGAGUGUAUAGAAGUGAGAAUGCCGGAAUGAGUAGCGCGAAUGCAGUGAGAAUCUGCAUGGCCGAAAGCCUCAGGUUUUUGGAGGAAGGUUCGUCCGCUCCAAGUUAGUCGGGAGCUAAGGUGAGGCCGGAAGGCGUAGCCGAUGCACAGACGGUAGAGAUUCCGUCACCACCAAAAGAGUUAAGCACAGGGACACAUUUGAAGUCUCAGAGCCGGGUGUUGGUUCCGGUAGAGAUCGAGGGAAGUUAGUACCGAAGUCUGGGAUGGAGGAUGGCGAGAAAAGCUGUGUGUAUUUCUGAGGUGCCCGUACCGCAAACCGACACAGGUAGGUAGGAAGAAGAUUCUAAGGCCAACGGGAGAAGGGUUGUUAAGGAACUCGGCAAAUUGACCCCGUAACUUCGGGAGAAGGGGUGCUCCAGAGAUGGAGCCGCAGAGAAUCGGCCCAAGCAACUGUUUACCAAAAACACAGGUUUGUGCUAAAUCGAAAGAUGACGUAUACGAGCUGACGCCUGCCCGGUGCUGGAAGGUUAAGAGGAGAUGUGCAAGCAUUGAAUCGAAGCCCCAGUGAACGGCGGCCGUAACUAUAACGGUCCUAAGGUAGCGAAAUUCCUUGUCAGGUAAGUUCUGACCCGCA
rnacentral:rRNA from 1 species